GAUUAACGCUGGCGGCGUGCAUAACACAUGCAAGUCGAACGAUGAAACUUUAAUGAACCCUUCGGGGAGAAUUAAAGCGGAUUACUGGCGAACGGGUGAGUAACGCGUGAGUAACCUGCCGUACACAAGGGGAUAGCCUUUGGAAACGAAGAAUAAUACCCUAUAAAACCAUAAAAGCACAUGCAAUUAUUUUCAAAGUGAUAGCGGUGUAAGAUGGACUUGCGUCUGAUUAGCUAGUUGGUGAGAUAAAAGCCCACCAAGGCAACGAUCAGUAGCCGGCUUGAGAGAGUGUACGGCCACAUUGGGACUGAGACACGGCCCAGACUCCUACGGGAGGCAGCAGUGGGGAAUUUUGCACAAUGGGGGAAACCCUGAUGCAGCGACGCCGCGUGAUUUAGAAGGCCUUCGGGUUGUAAAAAUCUUUUGUAUAGGAAGAAAAUGACAGUACUAUACGAAUAAGGUCCGGCUAAUUACGUG
rnacentral:rRNA from 1 species